rnacentral:rRNA from 1 species
GGUUAAGCGACUAAGCGUACACGGUGGAUGCCCUGGCAGUCAGAGGCGAUGAAGGACGUGCUAAUCUGCGAUAAGCGUCGGUGAGGUGAUAUGAACCGUUAUAACCGGCGAUUUCCGAAUGGGGAAACCCAGUGUGUUUCGACACACUAUCAUUAACUGAAUCCAUAGGUUAAUGAGGCGAACCGGGGGAACUGAAACAUCUAAGUACCCCGAGGAAAAGAAAUCAACCGAGAUUCCCCCAGUAGCGGCGAGCGAACGGGGAGGAGCCCAGAGCCUGAAUCAGUGUGUGUGUUAGUGGAAGCGUCUGGAAAGGCGCGCGAUACAGGGUGACAGCCCCGUACACAAAAAUGCACAUAUUGUGAGCUCGAUGAGUAGGGCGGGACACGUGGUAUCCUGUCUGAAUAUGGGGGGACCAUCCUCCAAGGCUAAAUACUCCUGACUGACCGAUAGUGAACCAGUACCGUGAGGGAAAGGCGAAAAGAACCCCGGCGAGGGGAGUGAAAAAGAACCUGAAACCGUGUACGUACAAGCAGUGGGAGCCUCUUAAUGGGGUGACUGCGUACCUUUUGUAUAAUGGGUCAGCGACUUAUAUUCUGUAGCAAGGUUAACCGAAUAGGGGAGCCGAAGGGAAACCGAGUCUUAACUGGGCGUUAAGUUGCAGGGUAUAGACCCGAAACCCGGUGAUCUAGCCAUGGGCAGGUUGAAGGUUGGGUAACACUAACUGGAGGACCGAACCGACUAAUGUUGAAAAAUUAGCGGAUGACUUGUGGCUGGGGGUGAAAGGCCAAUCAAACCGGGAGAUAGCUGGUUCUCCCCGAAAGCUAUUUAGGUAGCGCCUCGUGAAUUCAUCUCCGGGGGUAGAGCACUGUUUCGGCAAGGGGGUCAUCCCGACUUACCAACCCGAUGCAAACUGCGAAUACCGGAGAAUGUUAUCACGGGAGACACACGGCGGGUGCUAACGUCCGUCGUGAAGAGGGAAACAACCCAGACCGCCAGCUAAGGUCCCAAAGUCAUGGUUAAGUGGGAAACGAUGUGGGAAGGCCCAGACAGCCAGGAUGUUGGCUUAGAAGCAGCCAUCAUUUAAAGAAAGCGUAAUAGCUCACUGGUCGAGUCGGCCUGCGCGGAAGAUGUAACGGGGCUAAACCAUGCACCGAAGCUGCGGCAGCGACACUAUGUGUUGUUGGGUAGGGGAGCGUUCUGUAAGCCUGUGAAGGUAGCCUGUGAGGGUUGCUGGAGGUAUCAGAAGUGCGAAUGCUGACAUAAGUAACGAUAAAGCGGGUGAAAAGCCCGCUCGCCGGAAGACCAAGGGUUCCUGUCCAACGUUAAUCGGGGCAGGGUGAGUCGACCCCUAAGGCGAGGCCGAAAGGCGUAGUCGAUGGGAAACAGGUUAAUAUUCCUGUACUUGGUGUUACUGCGAAGGGGGGACGGAGAAGGCUAUGUUGGCCGGGCGACGGUUGUCCCGGUUUAAGCGUGUAGGCUGGUUUUCCAGGCAAAUCCGGAAAACCAAGGCUGAGGCGUGAUGACGAGGCACUACGGUGCUGAAGCGACAAAUGCCCUGCUUCCAGGAAAAGCCUCUAAGCAUCAGGUAACAUCAAAUCGUACCCCAAACCGACACAGGUGGUCAGGUAGAGAAUACCAAGGCGCUUGAGAGAACUCGGGUGAAGGAACUAGGCAAAAUGGUGCCGUAACUUCGGGAGAAGGCACGCUGAUAUGUAGGUGAAGCGACUUGCUCGUGGAGCUGAAAUUAGUCGAAGAUACCAGCUGGCUGCAACUGUUUAUUAAAAACACAGCACUGUGCAAACACGAAAGUGGACGUAUACGGUGUGACGCCUGCCCGGUGCCGGAAGGUUAAUUGAUGGGGUUAGCGGUAACGCGAAGCUCUUGAUCGAAGCCCCGGUAAACGGCGGCCGUAACUAUAACGGUCCUAAGGUAGCGAAAUUCCUUGUCGGGUAAGUUCCGACCUGCACGAAUGGCGUAAUGAUGGCCAGGCUGUCUCCACCCGAGACUCAGUGAAAUUGAACUCGCUGUGAAGAUGCAGUGUACCCGCGGCAAGACGGAAAGACCCCGUGAACCUUUACUAUAGCUUGACACUGAACAUUGAGCCUUGAUGUGUAGGAUAGGUGGGAGGCUUUGAAGUGUGGACGCCAGUCUGCAUGGAGCCGACCUUGAAAUACCACCCUUUAAUGUUUGAUGUUCUAACGUUGGCCCGUAAUCCGGGUUGCGGACAGUGUCUGGUGGGUAGUUUGACUGGGGCGGUCUCCUCCUAAAGAGUAACGGAGGAGCACGAAGGUUGGCUAAUCCUGGUCGGACAUCAGGAGGUUAGUGCAAUGGCAUAAGCCAGCUUGACUGCGAGCGUGACGGCGCGAGCAGGUGCGAAAGCAGGUCAUAGUGAUCCGGUGGUUCUGAAUGGAAGGGCCAUCGCUCAACGGAUAAAAGGUACUCCGGGGAUAACAGGCUGAUACCGCCCAAGAGUUCAUAUCGACGGCGGUGUUUGGCACCUCGAUGUCGGCUCAUCACAUCCUGGGGCUGAAGUAGGUCCCAAGGGUAUGGCUGUUCGCCAUUUAAAGUGGUACGCGAGCUGGGUUUAGAACGUCGUGAGACAGUUCGGUCCCUAUCUGCCGUGGGCGCUGGAGAACUGAGGGGGGCUGCUCCUAGUACGAGAGGACCGGAGUGGACGCAUCACUGGUGUUCGGGUUGUCAUGCCAAUGGCACUGCCCGGUAGCUAAAUGCGGAAGAGAUAAGUGCUGAAAGCAUCUAAGCACGAAACUUGCCCCGAGAUGAGUUCUCCCUGACUCCUUGAGAGUCCUGAAGGAACGUUGAAGACGACGACGUUGAUAGGCCGGGUGUGUAAGCGCAGCGAUGCGUUGAGCUAACCGGUACUAAUGAACCGUGAGGCUUAACCUU